UACGGGGGGAGCAAGCGUUGUUCGGAUUUACUGGGCGUAAAGGGCGCGUAGGCAACUUCAUAAGUCAAAGGUGAAAUCCCUCGGCUCAACUGAGGAACUGCCUUUGAAACUGUGGAGCUUGAGGCCGGGAGGGGGUAGCGGAAUUCCCAGUGUAGCGGUGAAAUGCGUAGAUAUUGGGAGGAACACCAGUGGCGAAGGCGGCUACCUGGACCGGAACUGACGCUGAUGCGCGAAAGCGUGGGUAGCAAACAGG
rnacentral:rRNA from 1 species